ACUCCUACGGGAGGCAGUAGUGGGGAAUUUUGGACAAUGGGCGCAAGCCUGAUCCAGCCAUGCCGCGUGAGUGAAGAGGGCCUUCGGGUUGUAAAGCUCUUUCAGGUGGAAAGAAAUAGCGCUGUUUAAUAGAUGGCGUUGAUGACGGUACCACCAGAAGAAGCACCGGCUAACUACGUGCCAGCAGCCGCGGUAAUACGUAGGGUGCGAGCGUUAAUCGGAAUUACUGGGCGUAAAGCGUGCGCAGGCGGUUGUGUAAGACAGGUGUGAAAUCCCCGGGCUUAACCUGGGAACUGCGCUUGUGACUGCACAGCUAGAGUACGGCAGAGGGGGGUGGAAUUCCACGUGUAGCAGUGAAAUGCGUAGAGAUGUGGAGGAACACCGAUGGCGAAGGCAGCCCCCUGGGCCUGUACUGACGCUCAUGCACGAAAGCNGUGGGGAGCAAACAGGAUUAGAUACCCUGGUAGUC
rnacentral:rRNA from 1 species